CGGUAGGGGCUAUAGUGGCGGACAAAAGUGGAGUGGUAGAGGUAGGAGAGGCUAGAGGUAGAAGUGAGGUAGAGUUGAACCAUCACAUCGUAGAUGAUGCGGGCGAGGGCGCAAGAGAGGACGAAGUGAGAGGUGGUGGGGACAAAGAUGCUUAGGAGGAGGAAGAUGGACUAGGAGACCAUUGAGUGCAUAACAUUGGAGUGGUUGACGCACAUCCCCCUUGAGGUAGGGCCGGAAGCUCUUGAGCUCGCCAUCAGCGUCGGAGAGGUUGCAUGCGUACGACGUCUUACAAGGCAAUAGUAGCUCGGUGCUGCUGUUGAUGGUCGCUUCCACAAUGACGCCUCCUCCC
rnacentral:lncRNA from 1 species